rnacentral:rRNA from 1 species
GACAGAGGGUGCAAACGUUGUUCGGAAUUACUGGGCGUAAAGCGAGUGUAGGCGGUUUGAUAAGUCGGAUGUGAAAGCCCCGGGCUCAACCCGGGAAGUGCACUCGAUACUGUCAAGCUAGAGUAUCGGAGAGGUUGGUGGAAUUCUCGGUGUAGAGGUGAAAUUCGUAGAUAUCGAGAGGAACACCGGUGGCGAAGGCGGCCAACUGGACGAAUACUGACGCUGAGACUCGAAAGCGUGGGGGAGCAAACAGGAUUAGAUACCCUGGUAGUCCACGCCGUAAACGAUGGGUGCUAGGUGUCGCGGGCUUUGACUCCUGCGGUGCCGUAGCUAACGCAUUAAGCACCCCGCCUGGGAAGUACGGCCGCAAGGCUAAAACUC